rnacentral:tRNA from 1 species
GUGGUUGUAGCUCAGUGGCAGAGUGCCUGCCUAGCAUGUGUGAGGCAUUGGGUUCAAUUCUCAGUACCACA